ACACACACACACACACACACACACACACAUGUUGGUUUAGCUAUCCUUAUGAGGACCCUCACAACGUAGGUGAUCUCAGGUUUUACUAUCCUUGUGGGGACAUUUGGUCCCCACAAGAAUAGUAAAACCUGUACACACACACACACACACACACACACACACACACACACACACACACACACACACACACACAAACACACACACACGUUGGUGCGGCUAUCCUUAUGAGGACUCUCCAUAGACAUAAUGAUUUUUAUACUGUAUGAACUAUAAAUUCUAUCCCCUAAACCCUAACCCUACCCCUAAACCUAACCCUCACAAAAAGCUUUCUGCAUUUUUACAUUUUCAAUAAAACAUAAUUUAGUAUGUUUAUUUUUAAGCGAUUUGAAUUAUGGAGACACUAGAAAUGUCCUCAUAAACCACAUUUAUAGCAGAAUACCCUUGUAAUUACCAGUUUGUAACCUAAAAAUAUUUCCUCGUAAACAACUUAAACCUGCCCCCCCCCACACACACACAUACACACACACAUAAACACACAAAAACACAUACACACAAACACACACACACACACACACACACACACACACACACACAAAUACACACACACACACACACAAACACACACAAAUACACACACAAACACACACAAAUACACACGCAAACACACACACACACAAACACACACACACACACACACAAACAUUGUGAUACUUAUAGUUAAUUCAAAACACAAAAUCGCAGGUUGGUAAAGACAGAAGUUAUACUUCUAAAUCAACACAGUAUUAUUAUUAUUUUGCAUUUAAAACCAUUUUGGAGAACAAGUGUGAUUCAAGAAUUUGGCCAGGCAAGAGCUCUUCUGCACAUCCCAUCAACCACCACAAAGAUUGAAAAUAUGACUGAAAUAUUUGUAAUGACCUUGAAAAAAACAUUUAAAGGCCUAUGCUUACAUGUCUGAAAUUUUAUAGACAAAAACAAAUUGUGAAAAUGAAUGAAUUCUUAAAUAAUUAAAUAAUAAUAAUAAUAAUAAUAAUAAAAAAACUGGAUUAGAUAAAGGAAAAGCAGUCAACAAGUGUCCAGCAUACAUGGGAAAGUUUUUUUUUUUUUUUCACUACAUAAUUCUCAUACUUUCAUUUGUGUUAUUUCAUAGUUUUGAUGACUUUACUAUUAUUAUAAAAUCUGGAAAACUGUAAUAAUAAAGAAUUAGUAUGUGUCCAAAGUUUUGACUGGUACACUCUUAGAAAAAAGGUUCUUUAGGGUUCUAUAUAGAACCCUAGGUUUCUUUACUCAGCUCCAAAGAAUCCUUUAUGCCAAAAAGGUUCUAUUUAAAAGAUUUACAGAAAAAAGAACCUUUUUGCACAAAAGGCUGAGAAUUGCUGACAAUUGCUUAAUGCGAGUAUGUAUGUAUGUAUGUAUGUAUGUGUAUGCAUAAAUUACACGAUUGAAAGUUUUGUUUAUAAAUAGUUUUGAACACUGCACUACAUUACUUCGGCAUUUGCAUUUCAUACUGCAGAAAAAUACAACUUUUCCAAUGUACUUCUACAGCUUUGGGUUUGAUUAGAAAAGGAUAAAUGACAGAUGAUCAGAUCCAAUGUCUUUUCUCUUUUAGAUGACAGGUUUAUCUUAAUAUUAAUAUACAUUCUUGACUCAUAAUUCAACAAAAGAUGCAAAAAAUUGUGUUUAUCAUAAACAGCAAACAACUUGAGCGUGUAGCGCUGUUUUUUCCUCCUAACUACAAAGGCGCAUUGAAGCUGUGCGCUCGCAGAUGCGUAACUCGAGCAAAUGAUCAAAACUCAAAUUUUAAUGGUCACGGAAAGUCGGCUGAGCUGAAAGCUUAAGGGCGACAUUACCCUGGUAAGUAAGAAAAAUCAAUAAUUUUUUUAUUCAUUUUAUGUUAUUUUUAUUUAUUUUGACCCAACUCCUUGUCAUUUAUGACUUACAUGUUUAUUUCAGCAAGCACAAAGAAUAAAUGUCGACAAAACUGUUUCAUCCAGGCCUGCAAUACUCUCUGACAGGAGAAAACAUGGGAGCGCAUCACAACAUUGAAUUAAGCAAACUGCACUGAUAUAAAGAGAUUAAUAAAGCUCUAUUCAAGAGUGUGAAUAUGUCAAAUGUCCAAAGUCAAAGACAGGAAGUGAUGGACAUGUUUCAAUUUCUCAACUUGGUUUUGGCAAAGACCUUCGCCUAACUCAAGAUGACAAGUGGCAAGAUGACAAGUGGAAGUCAAAGGGGACAUUUGACUUCAAAACAAUGGCAUAAACAUUGUCAUAAAAGGUACAUAUUUUUCUAUUAUUUCUCAUUAUUUUGCAUUGCAUCAAGGUUUUUAUGAUACUAAAUAAUAUUUAAUUUCAAUUGGCUGUGGCUCUGGAGUGUAGCAUUACUUGUAUGACCAUCCUUAUACAGAUAAAAUACUACACUCCUAUUCAUGUAAGUUUUAAGAUGCAACUUAUACCAAUUUCUUGGUUUUUAAUUAUUCUGCAUUCUGACAGCACGUCUAUAAAAUGUUUCACAUACUUACAGGAAUCAGCACAUCCAUCCUCAUCCUGAUCUCUCAUAUGGUGUCCAGACCCCUCAGAGAGUGCAGAGAGUUGGCAUCAAACUGAUGAUAUGGAGAUGGCUGAAGUGAAGUGAUCUUUUGUUUCAUUUGUUAUAUCCAAAAGACCUCACUCAGUUUGUCAGACCAGUGGCAACAAAAUUAUUAUGUGUCUGCCCCAGUGUUAAAAUUGUUUAACAGCUUUUCAUUGGUCAUUGAUUUUAUUCAUUUUUACUUAGUUUUUUUUACUUGUUUAUUAAUCUUAUUUAUGGUUAUAAUGUUAACUUAUAGUUAAUGUUAAACGAUUUAAUGUGUAUGAUUUUUAUAUAAAUAAUAUAACUACUAAUUAACUUUUAGCUUAUUAUUACAAACCUGUGGAUUUAUUAAAU